rnacentral:lncRNA from 1 species
UUUUUUUUAGUCAUUCUUUUCUUUCUCUCUUCAUCUUCACCAAUCACGUGUAAGUGACUGAACAUAUGAGGAAGAAAAUAAGGACUGUAACUGCGCGGAUGGAUAAAUAUAGGCUCAAAACGGACACGCCCGACCGGGCGCGUCCACGGACGUUUGAGGGGUCGAAUUAGAGGUAUGUGGCUGAAGAUGCUCUAAGAGCACUACAGCCAGACGCCUCAAACUCGUCUCAUACGUCCGGACGGGCCGUCCGGUCACUGUCCGGUCACGUUUUUUCGACCAAGACGGGCUCCUUAAACAGGUUUCAAACGCCCGGGCUGACCGACACCUACCAUAUCGAGCCCAAAUACAGGGCGGAUAAGGGGUGCCUAGGCGCGCACGGGCACUAGGGGUGGAUUAUAACGAGCAGCUCGGCUCGUUAAGCUCGUGCUUGUUAAGGCUCGGCUCGUUAAGCUCGUUAAGAUUAACGAGCAGAAAACCCUGCUCGGCUCGGCUCGUUUGAAGCUCGUUAAGCUCGUGAGCGCUCGCGAGCGCUCGGUAACAGAUUAUAAUGUGUUACGAUAUACAUGAUGAAUGUGUAGGUGUGGUUUUCAAGAUGAAAUAUGGCGACUACAAAAAGAACUGCAGUAGUUUGUUGCCUCAUAUGUCAAUUAGAUUAAAUAGAUGGGCUGAGGUGCUACAAAAAGUUUGUCAUGUCAGAUAAAAAUAUGUGUUGUGUUGUUACUAACGAGCUUAACGAGCUACUCGUGAAACUUGUUAGCUUGCUCGUUAAGCUCGUUAAGCAUAACGAGGUGAAAUCAAUGGUUGACUCUGUUCAUUAAGAAGCGAGCUACGAGCUUAACGAUCCGAACUAUCGAGCGCUCAUUAAGCUCGCGAGCUACGAGCUUUUGGUCCAGCCCUAACGGGCACGCCCGUCACGUCGGACCCGACAGCCCGAUCCCACCCCAAAUUGCACUAAAUCCAUCAAACCCUUUGUCCUCCUCCCGCCACCUCCAACCUUUCCCGCGCCCAGACCCUCGUCGUCCUCCACUCUUGCUCCCAAACCUCACCUCCCGUCCCGGUCUACCGCCGAAAAAUAUCGUCCAACCCGACCCACACCACCGCGACGGAGACGCAGUCCGCCUCGUCCGUCAACGGGGUCAAUUCGUCGGCUGCGACUUGCAAGGCGAAGAACGUCGCCCGCAAGUUGCGGUGACUCCGGCAGCGAGAGAGGGAGGCGGCGGCGGCGCAGGGAGGUUCGGACGUGGUGGAGUAGUUGUCUCCUCCGCCGCGCCCGGAUCCCCGCACCCCUUCCCUCUGAACGCCGAUGUGGAUUACGCCGUCCGAGCCCCUUGGGGCAGAGGAUGAUGCGACCACCGACACGCUCGAACAUUGAUUUCAUUUUGCCAUGUCCGGUUUUUGAACUAUGAUUUGUUUUUCUUUGUUUCGAACUUUGGCAUUCGGAUUGUUGUAUCGUAUGAACGACGUGCAUGGAUUGCAUGGAUUUGAAGAUAAAAAUUUAAUGUGUAGCGCAACAUUUGAUGGAUGCUCGGGCAGUCCGCGGGGUUUAAGAGGCCGGAUUUGCCGAGUCUGGCCGUAGAUGCUCUAAUUUACCGUGGCCGCACACGCAACGAGACCUCUCUUUUCACCCACGUCAUUUUCCUCCCAUUAGCCACGGCAUAUUCGACCUCGCCGGAAAACGCUGCAGCACACGUGGUUGCACCGCGACGGCGGCUUUGAGGUGCGUGGCGCGGGCUCGCACGGGUCGACCGUGCACGGCGUAGUGGGGGUCGCCGACGGCGGCCUUUAGCCGGUACGUACGGUGCGGUGUCAGCGGUGAGCGGUCGCAUGCAUGUACUUCUUUCAAUGAUCGCGUGGGACGGAUGGAUGCUCCUCCGGACAGCAACGCGCGCUCGGGCUCGAUAGCUGUCCGAAACGUACGUCUAACCGCCCCCGCCCGAAAGUACAAGAUCGACCGCCCGGCGCACCGACCUGGCGCCAUCCGCCACGUCGGGACGAGCGGCACGUAGGCAUCGCGUGUACUGUACACGGUAGCCAUCCGCUGGGCUUUGUAGCCGUACGUCUCCUCUCUCAUCGAUUUCCCUUUUCUUUUUCAUGAUUUUUUGGUGAAAGGGGCACGAGCUAGUAGCUUGUAGAAUAAUAAUGAUGCGUUAGUAGGGGCCCGGUAGCUAAGCAUGCAUCUUAAAUGGAGCACUCAAUGAUUCGAGCAUGUACUUCAUGGUGAUCGGCAUUGAAAAGCUGGAGAUUAGCCCGACGAAGAAGCUCUAGAUGUGUACGUAGUGCAAUGAGUUCAUCUAUUUGAAAAUCUAAAGUCUCUUAAUUGAUUGCGCCUACAAGGUAGAUACAUGGGCGCCAUCACGCGAGGGGAGGAAGGUAUAGGGCAGGUCGCUGUUGCGAGCUACAGCGCGGGAAGCGUCGCUCGCUCCGGGUAACGUGGCCGGGGCCCGCUCGCGUUUCGGCGUCAAGCAAAAGCGGAGAAAGCAACGGGGGAGAGAGAUAGGUGGAUGGAGAAAGGGACCGGGCAAAACAACAAGAAAAGAUACUGGAGAUAUUGCUACGAUGGCUGGUCCGUGAUCGUGUACCGAGUACUGAUGAGUGUCCUGACUCAUACCUGCAAUCUGUCCAUCAAUCUGUCCUGUAUUUUAUUUGCAUCUCCUGCCUGCCGGCCUGCCACGCACGUAUGUCAUCACGAAGCAGAUUACCGGAUUGAUCGAGCCAAAAUCAUGAGGUAAUAGCACCCCGGUACCCUAACUUGCACCCAAUGUGAUGAUUCAGUCCCAAAGUUACAAAACUUAACCAAACCAUACCCCAACUUGCAUCUCAUGUGAUGAUUUAGUCUCAGCCCAAUCAGAGCUCGCCAAUUGGCUGCCAAGUGGCUGGACCGGUCAGCGCGCGCAGUUUUGCACAAAAACCCCUGCCGUUUCCCUGAAUCAACCCGCAGUAUAGCACACCUGAAUUAAAUCUGUCGGAAUCGAGUUCACGUCCGAUCAGAUCCAGCUCCACUCGUUCCCCAUCUGCCCCCUUGCCCCCUCAGCUCCAGCAUCAGCUUCUCCACGCCGCCAGCAAGCUCGCCGCCGCCGUCCAGCUCACCGCCGCCGUCCAGGUCGCCCCCAUGGUAUCUUGGAGUGAAGGAUCGAGCUCGUCGUCCGACGACUACUCUGUGACAAGUGAGGUUAGUUCUUGACUAUGUCUGUGGCAGUUAGGGAUUGAGCAAAAAUGGGGAAGGGUGUAUGUUCUUGAGUAGCAAAAUUUCAGCAUAGAUGAUGCCUGCCUCUUUGCUGACUAGAAUAUGUUGUAAACAAUGUUGUAGGCUCCUGCUCCUGCCAUCAUUUUCUGCUCUGAGUGGACAGGCCUUGCUCCAGAUCUUGCAGCUAGAUGUGAACACCAGUGUGUGUGUGAGAAGUUUGUGUGCUUUGAAUCAGUUGACAGUGGAAGGAGGUAUCUUGCUUGUGCACAAAAGGUUAGUAGAUCUACCAAACUUGCAAUGUGUCAUCUUACUUUGAUCUGUAUAAGAGUGUGCCAUGUAAAUGUGGAGGAGUGCAUUUUCAGUUAAGAGCAUCUAGUUUGUGAGCUUAAUUGAAUCUUUGAGUUAACAGCAUCUUGUUAGUGAACUUAACUGAAUUCAAAUGAACUAACUGAACUGAACUGAAUUUAAAUGAAAUAACAGAACUUAACUGAAUUAGAAUGAAAUAGCUGAACUUAUCUGAAUUUAAAUUCAGUUAACUGAACUUAACUGAAUUCAAAUGAACUAACUGAAUUCUAUCUUAUCUGUUAGGAAAUACCUAAAUGCAAGUUUGUGGAGUGGAUUGACCCUGAAUGGCCUGCCACUCUGAAGAUGAGUUUAGCCAGGGUUUGGGGCAUGUAUGAUGAUGAGAACAAGCUAAGGCUCAGGGAAAGUGUAGUUGCUGAAGAAAAUUUUAGGGUUGUGAAAGAGAAGGAAAAGAUGGAAAAUGAUCUGAGGUUUUUUAAACUAGAUUUUGCUAAGAUGGUGGGUGACAAGGAGCGGGAAAUUACUGAAUUGGGCAAUGCAAGACUUGCUCUUUCUGACCUAAAGGAAGAGCUUGAGAAGAAGUUGUCUGAUAAAUCUACCACUAGCAUUCAUCAGGUUCUGAGGGCUAAGGCAGAGAAAGAGAGGGAUGAGAUGAAGCAACAGAUGGACAACAUGAAGGAAGAGUUGGACAAAGUGGUGUCACAGAGGGAUGAGCUGAAGAAGGAGAAGAAGAAACUAGAGUACAUGAUUGGUGAUCUAUUCAGGCACAAGGAGGAGACCAAGAGCAAGAUAAGGAGGUUGAAGGAGAUCUUAGAUGAAUUUGAGUAAUUCAUUGUUGGUGCAAUGCUGCCUUAAGUUGGAGCUAUUAAUUAGUUGUACUUCUUUAUUGAACUUGGUUGAUUUGUAUGCCAGUAUUAUCUAAGGCACUGAAUUUGUAUGACUGCUUUUAGUUAACUGAAUUUGUAUGACUGCCCAAGUUAUGUUGUUGCAAGGUGUUAUUAGACUGAAUUUGCUUUUAGUUAACUGAAUUUGUAUGACUGAAUUUGCAAGGUGUUAUUAGAUAACUGAAUUUUUGACAGUGUUACUGAAUAUUCAGUAAACUGAACGACCAGUUCACUGAAGAUUCAGUUACAUGCAAAUGUAGUUAACUCAAUUUGUCUCUCUCUGUUUGCAUGUCCAGUUUCCUGAAUUUAUAGUUAAAUGGAUUAUGAGUCUAACCGAAUUCUAGUUAACCGUAUCAGUUAACUAUAGAGUUAACUGUAUUUGUUUCAGUUAACAUGACUUUAACUGAAGAUAAGUUAUUUAACUGUAUUUGUUUCAGUUAACAAGAGUUUAACUGAACUCUAGUAAAAAUGUGCAGAAUUGGAACUAAACAGAGAAUAAGUAGUAUAGAUUUAGUACAUUGCAGUAAGAGUUAACUGACUCAUACAUAGAUAGAACACUGACUCAUAUAUAGAUAAAACUCUGACUCAUACAUAGAUAAAACACACUCACUCAUACAUAGAUAAAACACUCACUCAUACAUAGAUAGACUUGCAUUGACAUGCAGUGCAUUCAUACAUAGAUAGAAGAGCCAGGAGCAAUGGGGUGUUUAAGAGCUCAAUCAUCUGGGUAGAGAAUCCUACUCCACCUCAUCCUAGUGACCUGAAAAGGAUGGAGAUUAGCCCUCCUCCUUGCCCAGUAGAUGAUAUCAUCAUCACUAGGGUUUGAUCCAGGUGGGAAUGCCUCCAGGAACUGCUAUACAUCCUUGCGGUUGCGUGCUGCAAGGAUCCUCUCUGCCAGUUGCCUUCUUUGCAACCUUCUGGCCUCUCUACGCCUAGCUCCACUGGGUACCUCUUCUGCAUCUACUACCUCUCCAGGAUCCAUGUCCUCCUAGGGUUCUCUCUGGCGGCUGGGGGGAGGAGAAGUGAGGGAUUUGGCUUUGACUGGUGUUUGUGCCAAUUGGGUAUGCUUUAUAUAGAAGUAAGAGGGGUGGGUGGUAGGCAGGCAGAGGUAAAUCUGGGUGGUGGGUGGCUGGUAGCCCAUUAUUGUGGGCUAAUAUUAGGCAGGGAAUUAAAAACAAGCCAAUUUAGUUACUGGCUAAUAUUAGUUACUGGCUAAAUUUAGCUAAUUUGUAUUCAGUAAGUAUAACUUAAUUUGUAUUCAGUAAACUCAUUUUAACUGAAUUUGUAUUUGUAUUCAGUAAGCUUAACUUAACUGAAUUUGUAUUCAAUACACUCAUUUUAACUGAAUUUGUAUUUGUAUUUAGUAAGCUUAACUGAAUUUGUUUCAGUAAACUCAUUUUAACUGAAUUUGUAUUUGUAUUCAGUAAGCUUAACUGAAUUUGUUUCAGUAAACUCAUUUUAACUGAACAGCAACAUUUUGUAGCAGCAUAUACAACUAACAACAGCACCAACAACAUAUGAAAGCAACAGAUGGCAACGUACAUAUAACUUAGGUAGUUGCAGCAUAAGUUCAACCCAUAGGCAGUUGCAGCAGUAGUUCAACACAUACCAAAAGUAGUUCAAACAUAUAUGAAGCACACCUAAGUACUAACUGAUAUGCUAAGUUAUAUGCUACUCAGCAUACCUAACUACAUUCUGCAGUCUUCAGUUCUUCAGUUCUUGAGCUCCUUCAGAUGCUGGGAGCGGCGCACCUCCCCUACAACUUGAAUCUUCGUCGGCUUCUUCCUCUUCUUCGAGCCAUCCCGUGCUUGCCCGUCCACCACCUCCUCCAGCACCUCCUCCACCACCUCCUUCUUGACAAUGUCAGGCACCUCUGGCAGCAGGUCCACGUCAAUGGGGAGGUCUCUGUCGCCCUUAUUGCCGACGACGACGGGAGCCAACAUGACGACGUCGUCCGGCUCGUCGUCAGAUAGCACCACCACCUCUAUCUCCUCCUCGCCUGAAGACUCGCUAUCCGGCUUGUAGCCAGAGUCAGAGUCGGAGUCGUCGGAGUAGGAUUCAUCGUCGGAGGAGGGUUGGACGUCGGAGACGUCAUCGUGGACUAGCGUGUCAGGCUUGAAGCGGUCCCAGUAGGCGGUGUUGACCGGCACGGGGAGGGCGAGGACGACGUCGUCGACGCGCUGCAUCCUGGAGGCAACGCGGAACGGAUCCGGGUGCGGCGACGGCGUGGUGGCGGAGCGGUACAUCCACCACCGCGCGCGCUGCCUCGGAUCGUCGGACCGCGUCUCGGCCAGCGAAGCGCAAGACCAGGACCGGAGCUACGCCGGGUGCGGGCUGUUGGGGAACGUAGCAGAAAUUCAAAAUUUUCUACGCAUCACCAAGAUCAAUCUAUGGAGUAAUCUAGCAACGAGGGGAAGGGGAGUGCAUCUACAUACCAUUGUAGAUCGCGAUGCGGAAGUGUUGCAAGAACGCGGAUGAGGGAGUCGUACUCGUAGCGAUUCAGAUCACGGUUGAUUCCGAUCUAAGCACCGAAGAACGGUGCCUCCGCGUUCAACACACGUGCAGCCCGGUGACGUCUCCCACGCCUUGAUCCAGCAAGGAGAGAGGGAGAGGUUGGGGAAGACUCCAUCCAGCAGCAACACGACGGCGUGGUGGUGAUGGAGGAGCGUGGCAAUCCCGUAGGGCUUCGCCAGGCACCGCGGGAGAGGAGGAGGAGGGAGAGGGGUAGGGCUGCGCCGAAAGAGAGACGUUCUCAUGUCUAUGGCAGCCCCAAAACCCCAAUAUAUAUAGGGGAGGGGGAGGGCUGCGCCCCCAUCCAGGGUUCCCCCCCAAGGGGUGCGGCCAGCCCUAGAUGGGGCUUGGGGGGGCGGCCAAGGGGUGGAGAGAGGGGGGCGCCCCACUAGAUGGGACUUAGGCCCAUCUGAGACUAGAGUUUCCCCCUUUCCCCCCUUUCCUGUGCCCUGGGCCUCUUGUGGGGGGGCGCACCAGCCCACCUGGGGCUGGUCCCCUCCCACACUUGGCCCACGCAGCCCUCUGGGGCCGGUGGCCCCACCUGGUGGACCCCCGGGACCCUCCCGGUGGUCCCGGUACAUUACCGAUAUCACCCGAAACUUUUCCGGUGACCAAAACAGGACUUCCCAUAUAUAAAUCUUUACCUCCGGACCAUUCCGGAACUCCUCGUGAUGUCCGGGAUCUCAUCCGGGACUCCGAACAACAUUCGGUAACCACGUACAUACUUUCCCUAUAACCCUAGCGUCAUCGAACCUUAAGUGUGUAGACCCUACGGGUUCGGGAACCAUGCAGACAUGACCGAGACGUUCUCCGGUCAAUAACCAACAGCGGGAUCUGGAUACCCAUGUUGGCUCCCACAUGUUCCACGAUGAUCUCAUCGGAUGAACCACGAUGUCGGGGAUUCAAUCAAUCCCGUAUGCAAUUCCCUUUGUCUAUCGAUAUGUUACUUGCCCGAGAUUCGAUCGUCGGUAUCCCUAUACCUUGUUCAAUCUCGUUACCGGCAAGUCUCUUUACUCGUUCUGUAACUCACAUCAUCCCGUGAUCAACUCCUUGGUCACAUUGUGCACAUUAUGAUGAUGUCCUACCGAGUGGGCCCAGAGAUACCUCUCCGUUUACACGGAGUGACAAAUCCCAGUCUCGAUUCGUGCCAACCCAACAGACACUUUCGGAGAUACCUGUAGUGCACCUUUAUAGCCACCCAGUUACGUUGUGACGUUUGGUACACCCAAAGCAUUCCUACGGUAUCCGGGAGUUGCACAAUCUCAUGGUCUAAGGAACUGAUACAUGACAUUAGAAAAGCUCUGAGCAAACGAACUACACGAUCUUGUGCUAGGCUUAGGAUUGGGUCUCGUCCAUCACAUCAUUCUCCUAAUGAUGUGAUCCCGUUAUCAACGACAUCCAAUGUCCAUGGUCAGGAAACCGUAACCAUCUAUUGAUCAACGAGCUAGUCAACUAGAGGCUUACUAGGGACAUGGUGUUGUCUAUGUAUCCACACAUGUAUCUGAGUUUCCUAUCAAUACAAUUCUAGCAUGGAUAAUAAACGUUUAUCAUGAACAAGGAAAUAUAAUAAUAACCAAUUUAUUAUUGCCUCUAGGGCAUAUUUCCAACAGUCUCCCACUUGCACUAGAGUCAAUAAUCUAGUCCACAUCACCAUGUGAUUAACACUCAUAGGUCACAUCACCAUGUGACCAACACCCAAGAGUUUACUAGAGUCAACAAUCUAGUUCACAUCACCAUGUGAUUAACACUCAAUGAGUUCUGGUUUGAUCAUGUUAUGCUUGUGAGAGAGGUUAUUAGUCAACGGGUCUGAACCUUUCAGAUCCGUGUGUGCUUUACGAAUAUCUAUGUCAUCUUGUGGAUGCUACCACGCGCUACUUGGAGCCAUUUCAAGUAAUUGCUCUACUAUACGAAUCCGGUUUACUACUCAGAGUCAUCCGGAUUAGUGUCAAAGUUCGCAUCGACGUAACCCUUUACGACGAACUCCUUUUCACCUCCAUAAUCGAGAAAAUUCCUUAGUCCACUAGAUACUAAGGAUAAGUUCGACCGCUGUCAUGUGAUCCAUUACCGGAUCACUAUUGUACCCCUUGACCAACUCAUGGCAAGGCACACUUCAUGUGCGGUACACAGCAUAGCAUACUGUAGAGCCUACGUCUGAAGCAUAGGGGACGACCUUCGUCCUUUCUCUCUCUUCUGUUGUGGUCAGGUCUUGAGUCUUACUCAAUACUCACACCUUGUAACACAGCCAAGAACUCCUUCUUUGCUGAUCUAUUUUGAACUCUUUCAAAAUCUUGUCAAGGUGUGCGUUCUUUGAAAGUAUCAUCGGGCGUCUUGAUACAUCUCUAUAGAUCUUGAUGCCCAAUAUGUAAGCAGCUUUAUCCAGGUCUUCCUUUGAAAAACUCCUUUCAAACAACCCUUUAUGCUUUCCAGAAAUUUUACAUCAUUUCGGAUCAACAAUAUGUCAUUCACAUAUACUUAUCAGAAAUGUUGUAGCGCUCCCACUCACUUUAUUGUAAAUACAAGUUUCUAACAAACUUUGUAUAAACCCAAAAACUUUGAUCACUCCAUCAAAGCGUAUAUUCUGACUCCGAGAUGCUUGCUCUAGUCCAUGGAAGGAUCGUUGGAGCUAGCAUACCUUUUAGCAUCCUUAGGAUCGACAAAACCUUUCUGAUUGUAUCACAUACAACCUUUCCUUACGAAAACUGGUAAGGAAACUUGUUUUGACAUCCAUCUGCCAGAUUUCACAAAUGCAGCUAAUGCUAACAUGAUUCCGACGGACUUAAGCAUCGCUACGGAUGAGAAAAUCUCAUCGUAGUCAAAUCCUUGAACUUGUGGAAAUAUUCUUUGCCACAAGUCGAGCUUCAUAGACGGUAACAUUACCGUCCAUGUCCGUCUUCUUCUUAAAGAUCCAUUUAUCUCGGAUUUCAUGGCUUCUAACCAUUUGUCGGAAUAUGGGCCCACCAUCGCUUCUCCAUAGCUCAUAGGUUCAUCGUUGUCCAACAACAUGACUUCCAAGACAGGAUCACGUACUACUCUGAAGUAUUACGCAUCCUCGUCGUCCUACGAGGUUUGGUAGUGACUUGAUCCGAAGUUUCAUGAUCACCAUCAUAAGCUUCCACUUCAAUUGGUGUAGGUGCCACAGGAACAACUUCCUGUGCCCUGCUACACACUAGUUGAAGUGACGGUUCAAUAACCUUAUCAAGUCUCCACCAUCCUCCCACUCAAUUCUUUCGAGAGAAACUUUUCCUCGAGAAAGGACUCGUUUCUAGAAGCAAUUACUUUUGCUUCCAGAGCUGAAAUAGGAGGUAUACCCAACUGUUUUGGGUAUUCUAUGAAGAUGCAUUUAUCCGCUUUGGGUUCGAGCUUAUCAGCUUGAAACUUUUUCACAUAAGCAUCGCAGCCCCAAACUUUUAAGAAACAACAACUUAGGUUUCUCUAAACGGAAUUGCAUGGUGCCCCUUUUAAAGUGAAUGCGGUUAUCUCUAAUGCCUAACCCAUAAACGAUAGUGGUAAUUCGAUAAGAGACAUCAUGGUAUGCACCAUAUCCAAUAGGGUGCAGUUAUGAUGUUCGGACAGACCAUCACACUAUGGUGUUCCAGGCGGUAUUAAUUGUGAAACACUUUCCACAAUGUCUUAAUUGUGUGCCAAACUCGUAACUCAGAUACUCAUCUCUAUGAUCAUAUCACAGACAUUUUAUCCUCUUGUCACGACGAUCUUCAACUUCACUCUGAAAUUACUUGAACCUUUCAAUAAUUCAGACUUGUUUUUCAUCAAGUAAAUACACUCGGCAUCUACUCAAAUCAUCUGUGAAGUAAGAACAUAACGAUAUCCACUGCAUGCCUCAGCACUCAUUGGGCUGCAUACAUCAAAAUGUAUUACUUCCAAUAAGUUGCUCUCUUGUUCCAUCUUACUGAAAACGAGGCCUUUCAGUCAUCUUGCCCAUGUGGUAUGAUUUGCAUGUCUCAAGUGAUUCGAAAUCAAGUGAGUCCAAACGAUCCAUCUGCAUGGAGUUUCUUCAUGCAUAUAUACCAAUAGACAUGGUUCGCAUGUCUCAAUCUUUUCAAAAAAUGAGUGAGUCCAAAGAUCCAUCUACAUGGAGCUUCUUCAUGCGUUCUAUACCAAUAUGACUCAAAUAGCAGUGCCACAAGUAUGUGGUACUAUCAUUACUUUUGGCAUGAACAUGUGUAUCAGUACGAUCGAGAUUCAUUUUAGGUGCAAGACCAUUGAAGGUAUUAUUCAAAUAAACAGAAUAACCAUUAUUCUCCUUAAAUGAAUAACUGUAUUGUGAUAAACAUAAUCCAAUCAUGCUCAACGCAAACACCAAAUCUCGAUGGUAGAGGGAGCAUGCGAUGCUUGAUCACAUCAACCUUGGAAACACUUCCAACACAUAUCGUCAUCUCACCUUUAGCUAGUCUCCGUUUGUUCCGCAGCUUUUAUUUCGUGUUACUAACACUUAGCAACCGAACUGGUAUCUAAUACCCUGGUGCUGCUAGGAGUACUAGUAAAGUACACAUUCAUAUAAUGUAUAUCCAAUAUACUUCUGUCGACCUUGCCUGCCUUCUCAUCUACCAAGUAUCUAGGGUAGUACUGCUUCAGUGACCGUUUCCCUCAUUACAGAAGCACUUAGUCUCGGGUUUGGGUUCAACCUUGGGAUUCUCCACUAGAGCAGCAAAUGACUCGUUGUUUCAUAAAGUAUCCCUUUUUCCCUUGCCCUUCUUAAACUAGUGGUUUUACUAACCAUCAACAAUUGAUGCUCCUUCUUGAUUUCUACUUUCGCGGUGUCAAACAUCGCGAAUAGCUCAAGGAUCAUCAUAACUAUCCCUGAUAUGUUAUAGUUCAUCACGAAGCUCUACUAGCUUGGUGGCAGUGACUAUGGAGAACCAUCACUAUCUCAUCUGGGAGAUUAACUCCCACUCUAUUCAAGCGAUUGUGGUACUCAGACAAUCUGAGCACAUGCUCAACGAUUAAGCUUUUCUCCCUUAGUUUUCAGGCUUAAGAAACUUGUCAGAGGUCUCAUACCUCUUGACGUGGGCACUAGUCUGAAAUCCCAAUUUCAGUCUUCGGAACAUCUCAUAUGUUCUGCGACGUUUCAAAAACCGUCUUUGGUGCCACAAUUCAAAACCGUUAGCAUUACGCAUUGAACUAUCACGUAGUCAUCAAAACGUGUAGGUCAGAUGUUUCGUAACAUCUACAGACGACGCUGAGGUUCAGCACACCGAGCGGUGCAUUUAGGACAUAAGCCUUCUGUGCAGCAAUGAGGACACUCCUCAGUUUACGGACCCAGUCCGCAUAAUUGCUACUAUUAACUUUCAACUAAAUUUUCUCUAGGAACAUAUCUUAAACAGUAGAACUAAAGCGUAUGACAUAAUUUGCAAAGACCUUUUGACUAUGUUCAUGAUAAUGAAGUUCAUCUGAUUAUUGAACUCCCACUCAGAUAGACAUCCCUCUAGUCAUCUAAGUGAUACAUGAUCCGAGUCAAACUAGGCCGUGUCCGAUCAUCACGUGAGACGGACUAGUCAUCAUCGGUGAACAUCUCCAUGUUGAUCGUAUCUGCUAUACGACUCAUGUUCGACCUUUCGGUCUCUUGUGUUCCGAGGCCAUGUCUGUACAUGCUAGGCUCGUCAAGUCAACCUAAGUGUUUUGCAUGUGUUCCGAGGCCAUGUCUGUACAUGCUAGGCUCGUCAACACCUGUUGUAUUUGAAUGUUAGAAUCUAUCACACCCGAUCAUCACGUGGUGCUUCGAAACAACGAACCUUCGCAACGGUGCACAGUUAGGGGGAACUCAUCUCUUGAAAUUUUUAGUGAGGGAUCAUCUUACUUACUACCGUCGUUCUAAGCAAAUAAGAUGCAUAACAUGAUAAACAUCACAUGCAAUCAAAUAGUGACAUGAUAUGGCCAAUAUCAUUUUGCUCCUUUGAUCUCCAUCUUCGGGGCACCAUGAUCAUCUUUGUCACCGGCAUGACACCAUGAUCUCCAUCAUCAUGGUCUCCAUCAUUGUGUCUUCAUGAAGUUGUCACGCCAACGAUUACUUCUACUUCUAUGGCUAACGUGCUUAGCAAUAAAGUAAAGUAAUUUACAUGGCGUUAUUCAAUGACACGCAGGUCAUACAAAAAAUAAAGACAACUCCUAUGGCUCCUGCCGGUUGUCAUACUCAUCGACAUGCAAGUCGUGAUUCCUAUUACAAGAAUAUGAUCAAUCUCAUACAUCACAUAUAUCAUUCAUCACAUCUUCUGGCCAUAUCACAUCACAUAGCACAUGCUGCAAAAACAAGUUAGACGUCCUCUAAUUGUUGUUGCAAGUUUUUACGUGGCUUGUAUAGGUUUCUAGCAAGAACGUUUCUUACCUACGUAAAACCACAACGUGAUAUGCCAAUUUCUAUUUACCCUUCAUAAGGACCCUUUUCAUCGAAUCCGUUCCGACUAAAGUAGGAGAGACAGACACCCGCUAGCCACCUUAUGCAACUAGUGCAUGUCAGUCGGUGGAACCUGUCUCACGUAAGCGUACGUGUAAGGUCGGUCCGGGCCGCUUCAUCCCACAAUGCCGCCGAAACAAGAUAAGACUAGUAGCGGCAAGAAGAAUUUGCAACAUCUACGCCCACAACUACUUUGUGUUCUACUCGUGCAUAGAAACUACGAAUAGACCUAGCUCAUGAUGCCACUGUUGGGGAACGUAACAGAAAUUCAAAAUUUUCUACGCAUCACCAAGAUCAAUCUAUGGAGUAAUCUAGCAACGAGGGGAAGGGGAGUGCAUCUACAUACCAUUGUAGAUCGCGAUGCGGAAGCGUUGCAAGAACGCGGAUGAGGGAGUCGUACUCGUAGAGAUUCAGAUCACGGUUGAUUCCGAUCUAAGCACUGAAGAACGGUGCCUCCGCGUUCAACACACGUGCAGCCCGGUGACGUCUCCCACGCCUUGAUCCAGCAAGGAGAGAGGGAGAGGUUGGGGAAGACUCCAUCCAGCAGCAACACGACGGCGUGGUGGUGAUGGAGGAGCGUGGCAAUCCCGCAGGGCUUCGCCAGGCACCGUGGGAGAGGAGGAGGAGGGAGAGGGGUAGGGCUGCGCCGAAAGAGAGACGUUCUCAUGUCUAUGGCAGCCCCAAAACCCCAAUAUAUAUAGGGGAGGGGGAGGGCUGCGCCCCCAUCUAGGGUUCCCCCCCAAGGGGUGCGGCCAGCCCUAGAUGGGGCUUGGGGGGCGGCCAAGGGGUGGAGAGAGGGGGGCGCCCCACUAGAUGGGCCUUAGGCCCAUCUGAGACUAGGGUUUCCCCCUUUCCCCCCUUUCCUGCGCCCUGGGCCUCUUGUGGGGGGGCGCACCAGCCCACCUGGGGCUGGUCCCCUCCUACACUUGGCCCACGCAGCCCUCUGGGGCCGGUGGCCCCACCUGGUGGACCCCCGGAACCCUCCCGGUGGUCCCGGUACAUUACCGAUAUCACCCGAAACUUUUCUGGUGACCAAAACAGGACUUCCCAUAUAUAAAUAUUUACCUCCGGACCAUUCCGGAACUCCUCGUGACGUCCGGGAUCUCAUCCGGGACUCCGAACAACAUUCGGUAACCACGUACAUACUUUCCCUAUAACCCUAGCGUCAUCGAACCUUAAGUGUGUAGACCCUAUGGGUUCGGGAACCAUGCAGACAUGACCGAGACGUUCUCCGGUCAAUAACCAACAGCUGGAUCUGGAUACCCAUGUUGGCUCCCACAUGUUCCACGAUGAUCUCAUCGGAUGAACCACGAUGUCGAGGAUUCAAUCAAUCCCGUAUGCAAUUCCCUUUGUCUAUCGAUAUGUUACUUGCCCGAGAUUCGAUCGUCGGUAUCCCUAUACCUUGUUCAAUCUCGUUACCGGCAAGUCUCUUUACUCAUUCCGUAACUCACAUCAUCCCGUGAUCAACUCCUUGGUCACAUUGUGCACAUUAUGAUGAUGUCCUACCGAGUGGGCCCAGAGAUACCUCUCCGUUUACACGGAGUGACAAAUCCCAGUCUCGAUUCGUGCCAACCCAACAGACACUUUCGGAGAUACCUGUAGUGCACCUUUAUAGCCACCCAGUUACGUUGUGACGUUUGGUACACCCAAAGCAUUCCUACGGUAUCCGGGAGUUGCACAAUCUCAUGGUCUAAGGAACUGAUACAUGACAUUAGAAAAGCUCUGAGCAAACGAACUACACGAUCUUGUGCUAGGCUUAGGAUUGGGUCUCGUCCAUCACAUCAUUCUCCUAAUGAUGUGAUCCCGUUAUCAACGACAUCCAAUGUCCAUGGUCAGGAAACCGUAACCAUCUAUUGAUCAACGAGCUAGUCAACUAGAGGCUUACUAGGGACAUGGUGUUGUCUAUGUAUCCACACAUGUAUCUGAGUUUCCUAUCAAUACAAUUCUAGCAUGGAUAAUAAACGUUUAUCAUGAACAAGGAAAUAUAAUAAUAACCAAUUUAUUAUUGCCUCUAGGGCAUAUUUCCAACACGGGCAUGGCGCGACGCUUCUCGUCGUCAGUCAUGACCUUUACGAGGCGACGCGCGUGGUGGAGGAGCAUCUCGCCGGAGGGGAACCACCGCGCUAUCUCCUUCAGGUCCGCGCGGAGCGCGUCGUCGUCGCCGGCCAGAUCCUCGAUGGCCCUCUGCCAUGCGGGGGUGUUGUCCAUGGUGGCGGCAACGGCGUGGAGCUCGGCGGCGAGGGUUUUCUUGGUGGAGCGGGGUGGCGGGGAGACCGAGGAGCGAGCUGCGAUGUGGGUGGACUGGGAGCGAGGUGGAGUUGAGUGGAGUUGAGCUAGUGGAGUUGAGGUGGUUGGCUUUAAAGGCCUAGGAAACCGAAUCGGCGGAGCGACCGAGCUAGUGGAACGGUGGGUCUGCUUAACUAUAGUGCGUGGUACUAUCUAAACAAAUCACUACUACUAUCACACUGGCAAUACAGUUAGGUUUGCUAUUCACAGGUCCUGGGUUCGAUACCCAGGACAAACAAUUUUUUAAAAAAAUUAUUUUUAAUUAACAACAGCAGUAUUCACUCCAAUACUCACUUAACAACAACAGUAUUGAUUCCAAAACAUUUUUAAAGUUUUUUUAGUCAAUAGCAGCAAAAUUCACUUCAGUUAACACCACAGAAUUUAGUUAAAUUCAGUGAACAACAAAAUUCAGAUAUGUUGCAACAUUCAGGUAUCUUCCAAGAUUCAAAUGUCUUCCGGCAUUCAGUUAACUCCUAAUUAUAAUAUUUAAUUACAAAAAGGGCAAUGUAUGCCAUGGUUUGCCAUCCAGAAAUUAGGCAAUAUAUGCCACAUUUUGCCAUCAACAAGGAGGCAAUUUAUGCCAUAGUUUGACAUAACAAAAAAGGCCAAUUUAUGAGUUACAUAAGUAUAGGCCAUGUCAAAAAAUGGUGCCUGAGAACUGCCACUAGAUCAGGCAGCAGGAAAAUCAUCAGGAGGAGCAUUUAGGUCAGGAAUAUGACUGGCAAUGUCAUCUCCAAACAUCAGCCACCAUGCCCUCUCACCUGCUUGGCCUCCUCUUCCUCUCCCUGCAUCUGAAUUUUCUCCUCUCCAUGCAUUCACAUUACUACCUCCUCUCCCUCUCCCAGCACCUGGAUUUGCUCCUCUCCCUCUCCCAGCACCUGGAUUUGCUCCUCUCCCUCUCUCAGCACCUGCAUUUGCUCCUCUCCCUCUCCCAGCACCUGCACUUGCUCCCUCCACUGACCCUGCAUCUGCACUGGCACCUCUUCCUAGAGCUGAAACUCCACUUGCUCCCCUUCCUCUUCUUGCAUUUGGAUGUACCUCUCCUCUGCCUCUCCUUUUCUUUCCUCUUGCAAUGUCAGCUGUAGUUCUUGCCCUGGUCUGCCUAGCAAUAUUCAUUUCUGUAGUCACCCUGGGUUGUGGUAUUUCAGCCCCAGCAGCAGCAACAAAUGAAGAGAGCUCAGGCAGUGGGCCAUGGACUCUUUGAGAAGGUCUUCUUGCUCUUUCCCUGCUGGCCAUGUUAAAAACCAUACUAGUUGGUGACUCAGUAGGAUCCAACCUAGGAUCUGGCCUGUUUGGAAAGAUGUUCUGCAAAGAAAGAUGUUCAGAUAAGCUCAUUUUUGGGAGUUCAUGCAUUAGAGCCAACUGUGCAAAAUGAGAUGCAACAGAAGCAUACCUGAAGAAAUGUUGGAUCAUCAUAGUUAUCAUCAACAAGCUCUACUCCUUCUGCAAUUAGUGCUUCCUGCCACCUGUAGUGCCCUUUCCUGUUGUGGUCAGCUCUGCCACAAAUUGAGCAGUGCAUUGUCACACCUUUUUUGUUCAAAUAUCUAACACCAUUCCUGCUUCUCUUCUCUUCUGGUGUUUUCUUCCUGUUUUUCUUUGGCCUUCCCAACUGUUUAGUGAAAACUGGUGGAUAUACUUUGUCUCCAUUCUGUUUCUCCCAAUGCUUUGGAUCUCUAAGUGGAACCAGAGUGUAUCCAUAUGCUUUCAGAUAAUUCUCCACAGUGUAGCAGUCAUGAACCAUUGUCACUGGGUCAAUUCUCUCCUCCCUGCAGCAUGCUAUACUAUGGCCACAUGGUACUCCAGAGAGCUGCCAUCUCCUGCAGUCACAAGUGUGCAAGCACAAGUCAACUGUAUAACUAUAGUUACCAGAUUGAACUCUGAACAAUUGUUGGCCAGCUUCAGAGACAUGGCAAUUAGCAGCAAACUCGGUGUUCUUGUCUAGUUUCUUCUUGAUCUUUGGGCAUAUUCUCUGCCCUGCCCACUUCUCUAUGGCCUCUCUCUGUUUACUCACUAGCCUUUGCAUGAUCUUGUAAAAAAUGUAUUCCAGCAUGGACAGCAGUGGCAUCUCUCUGCCCUCCAGAAUGUAGCUGUUAAAUACUUCAGAGUUAUUGUUCAGCGGAAUAUCACACUUGGGAAAGACACUAAAAAAUGAUUUACACCAUGUCUUUGGAUCAAGUCUUUCAGUCUAGUGGAAGGCAGCUGCACUGUGUCCAUCCAUUUUCUCACAGUUUUGGCUCCACUUAACCCUGUUUGGUGCUCUUGCAAUGGCCCACAGAUCUUGCUUCAGUUGCUCUCCUUUGUGCUUCUCAUUGAGAUUCUGAUAAAUAUGCCUAACACAAAACCUAUGCUCAGCAUCUGGCCAGAUUUUUUGCACAGCAUUGAUCAAACCUUUCUGCUUGUCACUCAUAAUAGUGAAAGGAGCAGUAUUUGUGAUGUUAAGGUCAUCUCUCAAUGUAGUGAGAAACCACUCCCAAGAACUGGUGCACUCUACUUCUACCCAACCCAUUGCAAUGGGGAAAUGCAGUCAUUAGGAUCAAUACCCACUGCACUAAGCAACACUCCUUUAAACCUAUUUUUCAUGUGACAACCAUCAAUGAAAAUAAUAGGCCUGCAUCCCUUGAGCCAACCCCUUUUGCAUGCAUCAUAAGACCAAUAUAGAGUUUUCAGACAUUUCCUGCCCUGUGGGAAAUCUUUGUCUCUAACAACCUCAGUUGACAGGAGAAAUGUAGACCCAGGGUUGGUAUUCCUCAAUUCAUGACCAUAGUCCCUAAACCUACUGAACUACUCUUCUUCAUCACCAUGGAUCUCCUUAAGUGCUGCAGUUCUUGCCCUAGCUAGCUUCCAUCUGUUAGGGGUGACAUGAAAUUCAUUGGUGAUCUUUCUUGAAAAUGUACCUAGUGACAUCUUCUCGUCAUCUCUGAACUCAUUUAUGAAAUACUUGCACAGGAAUUUUGCUGUCAGUGACCUUAUCUUCCAUUUCUUCUGACAUAUAUGUUCUCCAUAGUAAGUCUUGAUGAGAAACCCCCUGUCCUGUUGUCAUUGCCAGCAUACAGAAACCAUGGGCAACCAUUUUCACAAACUGCUUCAAGUCUCCUCUUGUCAUUCUUUAUCUUCUUGAUCUGCACUCUGUUUCUAACUGAAUAUGCAGUCAGUGCAUGUCUUAGCUCAACCACAUCAGCAAAUACCAUCCCUACUUUAAACACAGGGGAAAUCAUGUCCACCUUUGCAUUGAAAGCUUUAAACUUGUACCUAAGUUCAUCUGCUUGCUCAGUUGAUAGGUUGAGAUCUUCAUCCUCAAGCAAGUAUUCAGGCUCCACAUCAUCCUCAUCCUGAUCAGCUUCUUCAUCAACAUCAAAGUCAAUGUUGUCAUUAUAAAGAUCAUCAUCACCAUCAUCUAUGUCAUAGUCACUGUCACUGAAAUCAGAAUCCGAAACAACUACAUCUUCAAUAACUGUUUCUCCAUCUUCAAUUAGCAUGUUGUGCUCAGCACCCUCAAUAAGCAAACUCUGUGGGUCUGUUCCAAUUGGUGCAAUCUCUAACAAGGGAUCUUCAGUUAGCAUGUUCUGCUCAGCACCCUCAAUAAGCAAACUCUCUGGGUCUGUUCCAUUUGCUACAAUCUCUGACAAAGGAUCUUCUACAAAGACUGAAACUAGGCUAUGGGAAGGGGAUGCAUUUGCUGCUGCAAAACUUGUUGUUGAUGUUAUGAAAGAUAGGGGCAAUGUGCACACCAGGUCAGACCUGAAGUUGCUGAUGAAAUCUGUAUGGUCAACCAUGACUACAAGCAUCUUAUGCUCAGCACUAGCUCUGAUAAUAUGUUGCACAUCCUCAUCACUGCUAAUUCUCAUCAAACCAUCUGAGGUUGGUUUAUUUGGUUUGCUGAAGUAAAUGAUGUGCUCACUCACAGGAUAUCCCAACCAAACCAAGUGUUGUUCAAGGAAUGCAUAAGAGAAAGUGCUAGAGUCAACAAAGUCUAGCACCUCAACAGAAGGGUUCCAGUACUCCAGGUUUCUGAUUGGGCCACAGAAAAUUCCACCAUGCUCAAGUUCCAGUGUAAAAAAUGGACUGUCCACCCUUUCUCCAUUUGCUGCGUCACACACUGUAUUCAAAACAAACAUGCAUCAGUUGAGAAACAAAUAUUCAGUUAACUGAAUAAAUUAGUCAAUUGCAUCAGAUUUAACAUACUUGAACAACAGCUUAAGGUUCAGUUAACUGAACCUUUCAGUUACUUACAAUAAGCUGAAGAAGAUUCAGUUAACUACAGUACUUGACAAAAUUCUGAUAACUACAGUAACUGAAAAUAUUCAGUUAACUACAGUAACUGAACAUAUUCACUGAACUACAGAUAACUGAACAUAUUCAGUGAACUUAUAUAAACUAACCAUAAAUGAAAUACAAGAUUAGCACAACAUUAACACAAACCAUUCAAUUCACUGAAACUUAGCUGCACAUACCAUUAGCAUUACCAAAACACUCACUAAAUGGUGUAACAAAAUAGCCAAGUUUAUACUCUGUACAAAACAUCUUCAACAGCAAAAAGGAGUUAAAUUUCACAACACGAACAGAUGCUUGAGUAGAGUACAUGCUAAAGUAGAACGAAAAGCCAACUACAAAGGCAUUAACAUCUAAUUUGUCUGCCAUAAACCCUAGCUAUCGUGUCGAACCCAAACCUAAAUUCCUCGGCCGAAACCCUAGCUCCACUUCGCCAUACAUGACCCUACUCAGAAAACACCACUAGACGACCCCGAUUCGAGCACAAAUGGACGCGAUUCGAGCUGCAAACGGCGGGGCGACGAGCCCAGCGGAGCAAAGCAGAGGAGAGGGAGGAAAAGAAAGCAGAGACGGGGCAUCGAGCUCACAGUAAUCAGGAGGGAAUGCACCCAACGGCCGGACGAGAUGAGCAGAUGCCGGCAUCUCCACGCCGCCGGCGAACGGCGGCGACGACGCCUCCAUCGAUGACGUCACCAUCGCCCCGCCAGCCCGUGAGCUCUGUCGCCCCGACAGCGACCAACUGAACCCUCUCGACCGGACGUGAACUCGAUUCCGACAGAUUUAAUUCAGGUGUGCUAUACUGCGGGUUGAUUCAGGGAAACGGCAGGGGGUUUUGUGCAAAAACUGCGCGCGCUGACCGGUCCAGCCACUUGGCAGCCAAUUGGCGAGCUUUGAUUGGCCUGGAACUAAAUCAUCACAUGAGAUGCAAGUUGGGAUAUGGUUUGGUUAAGUUUUGCAACUUUAGGACUGAAUCAUCACAUUGGGUGCAAGUUAGGGUACCUGGGGUGCUAUUACCUCCAAAAUCAUGCAGAUCGAUCGUACCACACGAUCGGUUGUCCAGAUUGGCCGGGGAAAGGUAAUCAAUUGCUUAAUGCAGAGGCUGAUGGGAUGCCACAAUCUCAACUGUCUCUUGAUCCGGGCUGACGGCAUACUUCCGGAAGCUUGGAGUGCGUACUGACCUAAACUGAAAGAAAUCUGGGGGAUAGUGCAAGUAUUACCUACUUUUAUAAUGGAAGCGGCUACCUGGCUACCUUCUUGACGAUGCCAUGUCGACCCGGUUGGUAUGGCCGAAAGGAAAAUUUGAACCAGCUGUUACUCUGACUAAUAAAAUACGUCAGAUCAUCUAUCAUUACAGGAUUAUAAAUUUAUAAUCAAUCAUUGUGUGAGUUUACUGACCAAUUUGGUUGCAUAGAAGCCCGGAAGUGUGCCAGUGGACAUUCCGUCCUUGUAUUUAGUUCCAAGCGGAUUAGGGGUCAGCUUCACAGGUGUCCUGCACCGUGGAUGCCAGGAGUUAUAUAAAUCAGAGCAGAGCAUAUCUGGGUUUAACUUUUAAAUUAGACAUUUUAUAGAUCAAGCGGAAGAAGAAAAAGAAGUGUUUUGUAAACUCAAUAAUUGUUGGGUUUUUUAGUAACCAAAAAAUAAUCAGUGGUGACGCGAAAUGCUGCUAUAUGAAGUUCAUGGUGUGCAAUCGCACCGCGCCGCGCACGCCUCAGCUAAAUCGCAGCAAACGUGCGGCCCAUAACACAUAGUACAACUCUUUUCUUGAUAACUCAAAGAAUAUGCAUUGAAUUAAUUUUUAUAUAAUCAAUUUUAAAAUAAAUGAUGAAAAAAUAUAUGUUAAAAAGAUAUUUGCACAAUUAAAAAGUGUUCUGUAUUUUUUUAAAUGUUUGCAUGAUUAAAAUAUUUUUCAUGUAAUUUUGAAAAGUUCUUGCCCAUUUUGAAAAAUGUUCAUAUACUUCUAAAAGUGUUCAUACAAUCAGGAAAAAUUAUCGUAAUUAAAACUGAUCACAUAUUUAAUGUUUAGUUCAAAAAAUAUCUUCAUAUAUUUAAAAAAGAUUAUAUUUGUUUGCGUAAUUAUAAAAAACUUCACCUAUUUUAGAAUAUAUUCACGUAGUUUUUAAACUCUUUAUGUAUUUUCAAAUGUGCAUGUGUUUAGAGAAAAUGUACAUAUUUCUUUAUUGAAAGAAAUACAUAACAGGCAAACAAUAAAUAAGAUUAAAAUUAAAAAAUAUAUUUAAAAAAGAAACAAGAAACACAACGCCAAGCGAAAAUGCAAAAUGCAAAAUGGAAAAAAGAAAACCAAGAAAAUAGAAAACAGAAAACCAAGAAAAUAGAAAACAGAAAAGAAUAUAAUAGAAUUGAAAAAAGAAAGGGAAAGGCAGCGAAACAGGCUGACCCAUAUAGGCACGCUCCGUGGGCAACUUAACCGCUAUAUCUCGUAAUAAGGGUUGGGAAAUCUCCAAACAAACGGGUGUUCCCAAAUGCCCGUGGCCAUAUCCUGACAUGUUCGCCGGCCAUCUAGUCUAGCACUAUCCCUGUCCCAUUUCAAAGUUUUCAAACGCAAAGUUUCGAUGAAAUUUAAGCACGUUCGAUAUAUUACAUGCAAACUAGUGGCACCGACGUCAUCGUUGUCACGACGAUUGGGAAAGCUAGGCAAGCCACGACGGUGCGCUCGCUCUGAAACCGUCAUGUGUCAUCCUCCGUCUUGAGCCGCGCCUUCUCUUCCUUCUUGUGGGCAGCACGCUUCGACUCGAGGACGCAAAUCUAAAAAUAGGCCUAAGUUGAUCCAGCACUAACAGUGGGUGUGGAUCUCCUUGGUGGUCUUGGUUCGGUGAGCUGCCCACACCGCCGCGAGCUCCUCGUCGGCGAGGACAUAGUACGAUGCUACUAGCGUCUUGGCAAACGACACCAAGCACCGCACCUGGCGUCGCUUCACAGUGGUGGGGAAUUUCAAGCCCCAUCGAUGAAGAGGACACGUUGUGCGACACAUCGCUCAGGAGUCGGUACUCCAGGCGGGAGCACGGCUACGAUGGGGACGGUCGUCGCUCCUUCUUGAAGCCAGCCAAACACCACAAGGCGUCAGGGUGGUGCUGCGACAGGGCGGCGGUCAGACGCCACUAGGUGUCGAGGUGGCAUUGCGUCGAGGACGACGGCUGCUGGGGCCAUGCCUCGAGGGGGUAUGUAUGAAUCCCAAUCGCCAGCUGCUCCUCGUGCUCCUCCAUGGUCUGAGACGCCGGGACAACGACGCCUCCUCGUCCAACAACCUCGUUGCCUCCCCCCACUCGACGUCAUGGCAAGGCGUCAAACUUGUACCCGUCUUGCAUCCACAUCAUCCGGGUCGUGAGAAGCUUCUCCGACCUCGUCGACUUCUUCCCAUUGCAGCAUGGCGGUUACCGAAAGCAGUGUGGUGGGCGGCGGGAGAUGGCUAGGGUUCUGGGAGAGGAGUGGAUGGAGUGAGGGGGAGGAUCGGUUUAAAAGCAGUGGAGGGGCGAAGUUGGACGACCGUAUCAUGAAUGUGAUAGUUGGACCGGCCACCUUCAAUGGCAAAACCCCGGUGUUUGGGAAGGGGUUUUGGGGGGACUGGGGUGUUGCACACAAAUGUGACGAAUGUCCGGACUCGGCGCUGCUAGGCCUGGCUUACAUGCUUUCGCAUGGGCAUCGCCUAGUGCACGAACUAGAGUUGGUUGCUGCUCGUAUGUGUGAUGCAGUGAGGUGACCUUUCUUCCUUUUGUUUUUGUUUAAAUCUUGAAAUAUUCUAAUUAAUACAAAUUUGAGUCACUUAUUUUGGACGGAGGGAGUAUAUUUUAAAUAUUACUUUACUUAAAUAUUUAAGAAUGCUCGCCGCUCAUUUAAAAAAUGUCCGUCAAUGUUACAAUUUUGUUUGCACAAUUUUCAGAAAAAUGCUCGUGGCAUUUUAAACGUGUUCACAUUUAAAAUAUUGUCCAUUAUAUAUUUUUCAAAUGUUCAUGAAAAUGUAAAAGUUUGUUCAUGUAAUUCAUAAAUAUAUUUGUACAAUUCAAAAAAUGUUAAUGACAUUUGAAAAUGUUCACGUGUUUAAAAACAUGUUUCAUGACAUUUUAAAAAGGUGUUUAUGGGAGUGAAUUUCAUCUUAGUAUCGGUAAUGCCCCGCCCAAAAGUAUUUCAUCGCAAUGGUGUUUUGGUGGCCGGGCCACCUGGAGGCCGGAAUCUGUGCCAUCUAGUAUAGCAUUGUGAUGUGUGCUGAUUUGCUUUCUCGUGGAUAUACGCUGGCUAUUAAUUUGCAAUACAAUGGUGCCAUGGGCUGAGGUGCUGCGAUUGUACAUGGGCCUCGGCUACACAGCGUUAAUGCAUGGUGGGCUGUUUUUGAAACUUCCACAUGUACUCGCGGUAGGUUGAGCUGGUGGGAUAUUAAUAUUGGUAUUAUGGGCCCAUGGGGUGCUGCAGAUAGCUUUACUUCCACUAAAAAAACGCAGUCCUCAGUUUUUUUGCAUGGUCAGACCAUUCAUCACCUUCUCAUAGUAGCUGAGUGAGUGACGGUUUGCCAUGGAUGAGCCCAUUGAUUUUGCUGCCAUUUCUUCGUCUAGUUCAUCUGCACCUUGUUAUUGGAUCUGAUUCUGAUGAGAUGAUAAUCUAGGAUGGGUUGCAGUUUUGGUUCCUACGGUGCACGUCAGUGAUAUUUUGUGUGAGUGUGUGGGGNNNNNNNNNNNNNNNNNNNNNNNNNNNNNNNNNNNNNNNNNNNNNNNNNNNNNNNNNNNNNNNNNNNNNNNNNNNNNNNNNNNNNNNNNNNNNNNNNNNNNNNNNNNNNNNNNNNNNNNNNNNNNNNNNNNNNNNNNNNNNNNNNNNNNNNNNNNNNNNNNNNNNNNNNNNNNNNNNNNNNNNNNNNNNNNNNNNNNNNNNNNNNNNNNNNNNNNNNNNNNNNNNNNNNNNNNNNNNNNNNNNNNNNNNNNNNNNNNNNNNNNNNNNNNNNNNNNNNNNNNNNNNNNNNNNNNNNNNCUCGUCCUAUGUGGAUAUUCAGUAUCAAGAGAUACAAGAUUCAUGAACCUCUUCAGAACAUCAUUUUUUCGUUUGAUGGUUUUUAAAAACUAGCCGAAUUAUGAAUAAUCCAAAUUGUUCUCGUCACCACUCGGAAUAACAUUUUACCUCCUUUUUUACGCAUGCAUCGUGUACAUGCUUUCUCCAUUAUUUUUGGAUCACAUUUUGAUAAUUUAUUUGGUUUGAUGGGUUUAGAAGUGCCUUCAAAUUGUUUGACUUUUACAUUAGCGAUUUAUUUGAAAAACAAUCGUCCCCUAGUAGUAAGAAUUCCCUUACCAAUUGAACGAUGCAUCCUUGUUAUGGUCUUCGAUGUCAUACCAUCACUGCCUCUCAUGUCAACGCCAUGCCAUUUCGAGUGUGUGUUUUCGAGAGGUGAAAACCCCAAGGAACUCUCAUAGCUAAAACGCAAUUACUGGAUACUCGCAACACAAGAUAAAUCAUGCAUAUGGAAUGAUAUCUUUUUCUCUCUCCUUUUGUACCAAAGGUUGCAAUCCGUAUGACUACCAGUACCCUUCAAUCUUAAACCAGCCUCACCUAAUACACCGAGUGUUUCUGAAUGAACACAAAUAAGAUGCACUCUAGUAUUUUAUGAUGAAUUUUUUCAAAAAAAAAGGUGUAAAAAAGGAAUACUGCCCUACUCGAUGCUAUCCUAUUAUAUAUUUUUAUAUAAAUCCAUUACAUGCAUCAGCUAACUCAUUGAUUUUAUUUUACUGUGUUCUUAUCAAGCACCGUGUUAUGUUAUUCACAACAACAAAAAGAAGCACCGUGUUAUGUUGUUCAGAGAUUUGCACCAGAACCCGUUUGUGUGCUUCAUAUCAUCACACUAGCUGUACAAGAGCAUCACGUAGCUACUAGCACCUGCAUGCAUGGCCUCACCGGCGUGAACCCUUUCCUUGUCGCGCUCACGCCGCUGUCGUACACAUGGGUCUCUAUCAUAAUAGUACAUGUGUGGCCGGGGAUGCAAGUGUGCCCGCACUGCUGUGCCGACUCGUGUACGCGAGCCGUCCAUGUUUAUUUGCCAGCAAAUACGGGCACUGUGCAACGGCCACAAGUGAAAAUACGGUAGCUGCAUACCCGCUCGGCGCUGAUCACCACGAGUACUGAGGGAUGUGAUAACGGCCUUCAGGUAGCUCGGCCACCAAAGCGCAUUUUCGUGUUUAUGAAACCUACAAAGUUAUUCACGCAAUAUUUUUUCAAAAAGUUCAUAACAUAUGAAUUUUUGGUUUCGUGACACUUUAACAAAAUGUUUUAACACUUAAUAAAUCUUUACUCGUUUUAAGAAAAAUGGUCAUGGUAUUUUUGUAAAAUGUUCAAUCAUGUGUGUAAAACUGUUCACUGUGUAUUUUAAAAAGUUCUAUGUGCAUUUUACAAAUGUUCAACAUGUAUUUGGAUAAAUGUUCAGAAUGUACUUAAAAAUGCUCAAUGUGUAUCUAACAAAAUUUCAAUUUCUACGCGAAAAAUGUGCAAUGUGUAUUUGAAUUAUUUCGACAUGCAUUUGAAAAAAAAACACAAAAAAGGAACGGAAGCAAAGAUGAAAUGAAAAUAAAACAAAAUAGAAAUGAUGAAAACCGAUAGAGAAAAUCAUGAAGAAAAAAGAACCCGCGUAGAACCUUCCCAAAACCGGGACGAAGGUUCGACAAACCAGUCCUCAAAAGCUUCUCAAACCCACUCAGUACACCUUGUUGGGCCGGCUUAUUCACCGCCUGAGGCAAGCGUUGCUUGCGAAGUUGCAAGACCUAGCAUUGCGCGUUGGAGGCCUAAAAGUGUCUAAACCGGUCAAGACAUAUAAAGGAGGUUUGGUGAGUCGCUUUGGAGAUGCUCUUAUAUCGCAUUUGGAUGAUGACGAUGGUUGUACAUGUUAGGCAGGGAUAAACCUUUAUUUAUUUUAUUUCUUGAGGUAAGGAUAAGCCUUUAUUGGGCAUGUGGACGUAAUCACUUCAAAUUUCAACCCACAUAGCAUCCAAGUUCAGACCUAAUCACUUGAAAUUCAACCCAUAGCCUAUAGUGGAUUAUAACAGAUAAUUAUGCCUAUAGUGGAUAAUUGUUUAAGUUACAAAUACCUAAUCUAGCUUGCAUUUCCCUUCAAACUUUUACCGUACAGGUGUAUCAUAGUUCAUCGGUGAUAUGUUAUGUUUCCAUGUGUAUUUCUUCAUCACGCUCGCUGUAGAGUGAGCUAUUCACAAUAUAUAUAGGGCCA